AAGAAGGGGACGCCCCUGUGCUCCCUGCUUGUGCCUUUUGUUGCGUUCAUAUAAGCUGCGUACUCUUUCACUCCUGGAGGUUUGGCGUGUGUGCGUGCGUGUGUGGACUCUUCUCGGCGUGCGGUGUGGCUGCUUCUGCUGCUGCCGUUGCGGGCCCUUCACCGUUGUGUUUGUUUUCGUGCCACAACACACCCGAGCUCCCUCCUUUCCCAUAGUUUUGUGUGCUGGCGGUGCAGGCCUUUGCCGCUGCUCUUUGCCAGUGUGCUUGUAUUUGUUGACGUUUUUCUUACUCGAGGUACGCGGGGCCCGCAGAUCUGUUUUGCUCACUUGCUCACACCCUUUUCUGCCCGUAGAUAUUUUUCUCUGCUGCAGCUCUGCCGCUGCUUUCCGUCGUCAUGAAGUUCAUUCUCCACUCUCUCUCCUACUACCUUAAGGAGUACCCACUCCGCACCAACAUGGCACUCAGCACCACGAUCGGCUUUUGCGGGGAUGUUGUGUGCCAGACAAUCUACGAGCCAUGGCUGCAGUCGCGCCCACCUCUGACGCGUGAGCGGCUGCCCAACGAGAGCCAGAACUCACCGUUCCUAAUAACCGUUCAGUCUCCGUUUCUCUGCGCUCGUCAGCGAUGGCGUGCAUGCCAAGCGGAUCGUGGCACGGCGGUGCCGUCCCCUGCUGAUGGGACGACGAAAAAUGCGUCGCCGCCGGCUUCCUCCUCGGCGGCGGGCGGCAAUACCACCAUACUUCUUGACCUUCGUCGCAGCAUGAUCUUCUGCAGCUUUACCUUUCUCUUCGGCGUACCGUACUUCCUGUGGGUGUACCGCCAUCUGGACCGCCUCAUCAAUCCGGCUGCCAUCACCAAGCGUAGAGCCAUUGGGAAGGGGUUUCUCAGCUACAUCGCGGCGCAGCUGACAAGCCCGAUUUACCUCACCUACGUCACCGCCAUGGACCACUUCUUCAUAUACCGCGACGGCCGCGAUGGACGGCGGCGCGUGAUGGCGAUUCCGAUGAAUACGGUUCCCAAGGCUCAAGAGCAUGUCGUGGUGGCCGGCGACGACGACGCAGGCAUGACUGACGCGCAGAAGGGCACCGGGCGUUUUCGCUUUGUGUUUAGCCCCUUCCGCAACACCAUAAGUGAGCUGGAUCAGACCACAAUCCACAAAAUGGGCUAUUACUACCGCAUCGUCGACAAUCACAACUUUAACUUCCACGAAUACUUCACGUGCGUGUCGGUGGAUGUGAGGCGCAAACUCAUCUACGACUUCCCCGACAUCAUGAAGUAUGCGCUGGCCUUCUGGUCGCUCAACUGGCUCCCGAUGUUCUAUUACAUCCCAGGCCACUUCCGCCUCGCCUACUCGUCUGGCGUGCAGGUGGUGUGGAGCGGGAUUAUGUCUUACAUCCUGCAUCGCUCUAAGAAGGUGGACGGCGAGGACGCUAGCAUGAAGCAGCCCCUGCACACGCUGUAGAAAGGGACUACUAUCAACGAGAAAGGGGUGUCCACCUGUGAAAACUCGAUCUGGAAGAGGCGCUACUUGACCGAGGUCUGUGGGGCGCUGAUGUGAUAAUCCCUGUGUUUCAGCCAAUAAAUGAAAACGCAUGCAGCACCCAAAAGGAGGGACGGCCUUCGCGCCGUUCGCGGUGAUUUCGUCAAGUUGUCGCAGCCUGACAUCGCGCAAGGCUUUUACCACUGCGUCGCACGUGAUCGCCGCAACUCACAGCCUCCGUUAUGCCGUCGCUUCUCCCUUAUUUUUCUUUUUUUUUCGACGUCUGCUCCUCCCCCACCUGCCUGGGUGUGCGGGUUGUUACUUUGCGCGACAGGUGCUGGCUUGAUCGAUCGUAGAACGCGUGCGUGCCCGCGAUGAGCCCUUCGUGGAGUACACGGUGCUGAAUGCCAUUGAGCGCCACGGCUAACCAUCACACCGUCUCAUUCCAAGCGCACGUGAGAGGGAAGGUGACACAGUGACUGCGGCUGAUCCACAACGCGCUGCUGGUGGGCAUAGGCUUGCGGCUGCGGUUUGUGGCGCGCGUAGCAGCGGUGCACACCAACAAAAGGCCAAAUUAUGAGGGCUCUGUCGUGUGCUCGGGAUGCGCGCGUGGAGAGAUACUUUGGCUACGGCGAAAGACAUAGUUGAAGCUGCAGGGCUGCAUUACCCACUGCAGCGAUGAUUUUCGCAACUGUCACAAAUUCCUUUACGAUUUGGGCGACACGAGUGGCUAUUCUCACACGCACACACACGCUCCUCCUUCGGCCUCCGAUCUGAACCAGACGUGGGGGCUGUAUUGUAUGUACACGCACUCCCACCACACCAAUGCGUGAGCCUAAUAUAAUGCUUCACCCGCUGCUGCACAUUUGUUUCUCUCUGCUCUCUUUACGUGUGCAUUGAGUAAGGGAUAUGUGCGCCCGCGCGUGUGUCUCCACAGCUACUGCUUCGAUGCCCCUUGCGCCUCUGCCGUUCCUUCGCCCCUCCCUUCUUUCCCGUCUGUUCUCCCCAGCCACGCCGAAGGAGAACGAGUGAACAGAGGUGAGAGAGACUUCCUAGUGCUAAUGGCGUUGUUGUUUUCUUUGUUUUUCCUUCCUUUCUUCGCCGUGAUCAUUUAGGACACCUCAGUGCGUGGUAUCUCGGUGCUCAGUACACCCCUACUCGCUCUGUCGGCGCGGGGGAGGGAGUGGGGGCGGGGAAGCCAAGCAGCCCUCCCUUCCUGUGCCUGCGAAAUGCCGAGCCCACCGCUGGUGAUGACAGGGUGAAGCGCCUGCCGCCUAGGCAGGUGGGUGCGACGUAUCACUGCGGAUGUCGGUGGUCAGGUCCUGGACGGGGAUGCGUCGGAGCGACCGGCGACAGAGAGCACGCUUGCGCCACCCAUGCGAUGGGCCGAGGUGCCAGCAUGGCUCGAGUGCAUCUCACGCGCCCCUCGCACUGCCUACUGGUUGGGGCAGCCUGGGCGUCACGCCGAGGUGUAGGGACGAGGGGGGGUGGUUGUGGUGGUGCACCCGGGGUGGCGACUGGCAUGAUGGGGGAGCGGCUAUGAGGCGACCCGCGGAGCGGGGAGGGGUGGGCGCAGCUCGAGACGGAGGCCGUGCUGAGGUGGCUGGGUCGGGGCAUUGCUUGCAUGCGUGCGUGUCUCGGGCUGCUUCGCGCCAGGCGAUGGGGCCUGUGGCACGCCGGGGGCCGAGCGGAGCUUGGCUCAUGCUGUGUGGCAGCGAAUGUGCACACGUUGAAUUAGAGUAAAACUUGGUGAGCCCUUCUUCGUUUUUCGAUCGAUGCCCAUCAGCUGUGUUUUGCUCUCUAUUGGUGUCCUCGCCCUUUUAGUAUGCGUUUAACACGUUCCUUCUUGGCCUUCCCGCCUUUAAUCGUCGUUCUUGAAGCGGAUAGUCGGGCUGUUUUGAUUUUUUUCCUGUUAACCUCUCUCUCUCUCUCGCUCGCUGGCUUCUCUUCAUCUUUGUUUUGUUUUCGUUUCCUGUUAUUCGCAGUUUCGCCAUCGCUCUGCUGCCCCAGCUCCUCUCCUGGCUCGUCUCUUUCUCUUGUCAACACGGACUGCGGCUCUGGCGAUGAUGGUGAUGGCAGUGAUACAUAUGUAUGAUAGUGGAUCCGUUCUGUGGACCAUGAAUGCCGACGACUCACUCUCGCUCUUUCUUCUCUUUGCCUCCUUAUCUCUUUUCCUUUCCACGCCAAGAGGAGAGUACACCAGCCUCAUGCGCGCGGGAGCAGCAGACACCCUGUUUCUCUAUUUCUUGUGAGUUUUUUGUGUGGUGUCUUGUAUUGUGCAACCUUUGUACGCUGCUAUCCGGACAUGGCAGUGCGACAGGAUCGGGGAGGGAGGACGAUCAAGUUUUCGUUGCCCACUAGAAGCGGGAUCUCUAUGUAGCAGCUUUCCUUCUAGUUUACAUUUCCUUUGAGAAUGGGCCUCAGUGCCACACGGUGACCCCUUCUCGUUGUUUCCACUGCCCGUGCCCCCAGAGUACGCCCCACCUUCCUAUCCGACCCCCUUCAUGCCUCCAUCAGGUGCGACUAGAAGCUGGAAGGACGGGUGGCGCCGCACUCCUGCCCGUACACAAGGACAGGCAUAUAGGCACAUCGAUGCUCCUGCAUGAAAGAUGCACUCCAUCCCUGGUGGUAUGGUUCCAUCGGUGUUUAGCACCCCGGCCGCACCCAUAACCCAGAAGUCGAAUCGGUUGGGACGAAUACUCUGUGACUCCCCGAUGGCCUCGGUGCAACUCCUCCUCUGCUGCCAUCUCUCCCCUCUUGCGCGCUGGCCAAGGAAUGGUAGUAGUGAGACACGCACGUUCACAGGAAUGAUGGUGGCAGAGGAAGGCGGCCCGAGUAUUUCUAAGAAUGUUGCGCAGGAGCGGAAGGAAAGUAUGGCUCUGGUAUUCUAACGUAUACCAUGGGAGCUGUUCUCUCACAGCGACAAG
rnacentral:misc_RNA from 1 species